UACGGAGGGUGCAAGCGUUAAUCGGAAUUACUGGGCGUAAAGCGCACGCAGGCGGUCAAUUAAGUCAGAUGUGAAAGCCCCGAGCUUAACUCGGGAAUUGCAUUUGAAACUGGUUAGCUUGAGUCUUGUAGAGGGAGGUAGAAUUCCAUGUGUAGCGGUGAAAUGCGUAGAGAUGUGGAAGAAUACCGGUGGCGAAGGCGGCCUCCUGGACUGACACUGACGCUCAGGUGCGAAAGCGUGGGGAGCAAACAGG
rnacentral:rRNA from 1 species